rnacentral:lncRNA from 10 species
UAGAAGCUCUUGGGAGCAUGUGGACAGUUGUGGCUGCUCCUGAGCUGACACUAACUGCUCAUGACUCCUCUGUGGGAGAAGUAGGUGGUUUCCUAGAGGAAGAAGUUUGGGUAAUGAAGCCACAGAGAUUUGCUGAUACAUUUGCUAGGCACGACUUCUGGUCAUUUAGAAAGCUAUUUUGUGGCUUCAUCAAUAAGGUAUUCCCCAGCUGUGUUACUCCUUCGCAUUGUUAUCUCUUUCCCUGGAAUUGAAGGCUUCCUGGUCUGAGGCAAGGACAAUUAUUCCCUCACUGUCAACCCUGAUCUCUGGCUGCAGUAAUGAGUAGAGGAAGUAAGUAAUACUGGGGAAUCAAUUUUUUUUGUAUGGCAUGGGAUAUAACUAAUCCUUUGAUUCUGAAAUGUCAUUGGUGUGUAACAUCUGCUAUAGGUUUGUAGAACUGGGUUAUGUUGUGGUUUUAAUUAUAACAAUUUGAUCUAUAGUUUGAGUAUGAACACUGAGAUCUCCCCUUCCAAACUUUUCUUGUCAUUUUUUACAGAUGAAGAAAUAAGAAUGGAAGCAUAAUCAUUUGUCCGAGGUCACAGAGGGAGAUGAUUACACAGCUGGAAUGUAAGCCUCAGUACUUUACUGAAUCCUUGGCUUUGUCCAUGGGCCCAGCUACAGGCAUAAAGCUUUUCUCUUCCCCAGCAGUGACUUCGAGUACCAGCUUUCAAAUUUAUUUGACAUUGAAUCUAAGCUUUGUGACCAGUAUGUAGAAGGAGAAGAAGGGGAGGAAUUACUUAUCCUUUGGCAUACAUUAGCAUGCAAAUAAAUCCUUUCUCUGCAUUGUGGAAGGGUCUGAAAUUAUCACAUAUACAAUGUAUCUUUUAUCAAUGGCCUUGCAUACAAAUUUUACUUUGAAGAAUCCAGAUUUAGAGGUCUUCUCCAAACAUUUGCAUUGUUUCUUUUUCUUAGGAUCAGAACUUCUACCUAUUGUCAUUUUAAGAAAAAAGAUCAUGAAUUAAUUAAUUUAUUCAUUAUUUACACCCUUAUAUUCUUUCCCAAAUGUUUUAAUGUGGCUUACAUUGUAUACAUGUACACAAUAAAUAUUUAUAUUUAAAUAAGUUAUAAUCACAGAAUGAGAAUAUUAUUACAACCACUCAUACUCAUUCAAAUAGCUUGAUUAUAUCAUUGAGCUUUUCUUUUAGUUCUGGGUUUUUUGCUGCCUAGUUUAAAUCAGAAUGGCAUCUGAUUUAAUUAAUGGAAACUGAGUUUAUUUGAUUGAUGGAAACAAGAUGAUUUCAAGUGUGAUGCACUUUUUCUGUACUAACGUUUGAGAUACAUUUAUUACAACUGGCCACUUCAUAAUGGGCCAUAAGCAUUGUUUAAAGACAAUGGCUACUAUUGUUUGAAAGCUAAGGAAAGAUCCAAUGCUACCAGAUGUAUAUUGGCUGAGAAAUGAUCAGCUGAAACUACAGGCUGAAAUGCUGUAUAAGGUAGGCAAUAAAAUUAGAGAAUGUUUGCCGAACCCACUAAGCAGCAAAGAGGACCCAGCUUAGAAGUAAUGUAAAUUUUAAAGCUCUUUACCAGUGGCAAGCUAAUUUGAAAUAUUAGAAGUUAUUAUUUGUUUUAUGUUUCUCUCUCUAGCAGUAUAGUUUUUAACCGGCUUGUAAGAGCUCUUUUGUUAGUAAUGAUAUCAACCCUUCUUCUCUAAAUUAGUUGUUUGCUUAUUUACAAUUUCUGAAUUUUUCUCAAACAUGACAAUGAUUCUGAUGCAGUGGUUCUCAAUCAGGGGUAGUUUUGUACUCCAAGGGACAUUUUGGCAAUGUCUGGAGACAUUUUUGGUUGUCAGAACUAAGAGGACUGUGCUCUGGGCAUUUAGUGGUUAGAGGACAAGAGUGCUGCUAAACAUCCUAUAACGGACAGGGUGUCACCCACAACAAAGAAGUAUCCAACUCCAAAUGUCAAUAAUGCUGCAGCCGAAAAACCCUGGUCUAAGGAAUCAUCAUCCUGGUGUAUUUUUUUUUUCCAGUAGUUCGGAAGAAUGUGAAGAAUUCUCCCAGAAUUUUUCAAGAUAUUCCAAGUACCUAUUUAUUUUAUAAUCCUUGAAGACUUACUAAGUACCCAUAAACUGGUUGAGGAAAGCCAGUUUCAAAAUAAAUAUGAAAUCAUAUUUAUUUUUCUCUGAUUAAUCAAGGUCAUCAUGUUUUUAGAUGCCCUGCAAAGAAAACUGGUCAAAAUGUAAGACUGGCCCUCACAUUAAAUCAUCCAAACUAGUAACACUCCUCUAAAGGACUUCCCUCUUGGAACAUUCUUGACUUUCACAUAAUCAGUAGGCAACCUCCUUAGUCAAGGAGUCCUCUCUAACUGGCAAACCUAUCAUUUGGAAGAAUGAUCUUUUCUUCCUCCUUGCUGACUUUAGUUUCAGACAGCUAAUUACAAGUCCUUGUUCCUCCGUGACCUAGACCUGUGACUUAAGGCAAAUUACAAUACCUUUUUUUCAUGCCUAAUUUUAUUUAAAGAUUUGAAAACUGUAUUGCAAUAUAACUG